AUUACAAAGUGAAAGUGUAACAUAGAGGGUAUAAAGAGAAAAAAAAUCUCCUUUUUGAGUGGUAUGAGAACAUUCUGACUAAUAAUUAUGGGAUUAGAAAGUAGUACUAACUCAAUCAUCACUCGAAUAACUGUUUUGUAUCUUCUUUGCUUUUUAAAGCAAUUGUCAUGUAAACAUUCAAGAGAGCAGAAGAAAAUAUUAGAGACAGCUAAAAAUUAAAAUGAGAGACAUUGAUGAAGCAACAAGCAGAAGAAUAAUUUAGAACAUCUAAGUAUAGUACCAGAAGGCAAUCAGUCAGUAGAUGGGACCAGAGUUCAAGCCCAGGCAGCUGUCCAACUCCAAGGCAUGCACUUUUUACACAAUGUUGCACAUUUAUAAAAGAGAAGUAUGCUGAGUACUUUUAUAAGAUCCAGCUGGGAUAGUAUAACACAAAUCUAUAGUGACUUACAUCAGGAUAACCUAGGAAUUGUAUAAGAUAAAGAGAAUUCAGUCAGGUGAUUUGAGAAAUAUAUUGAUGGAGGUUAAAGGAGUUUUGGAAUUUGAAGUAACAGAAAAAAAUAAUAUUUAAGAAAAUGAAGCAAAGUGAUUUGGAUGGGGAACAUGAGAGAAUUGGAAAAAGUAAGUCAAAGAAGUUAAGGAAGUUAAGAAACUUAAAGGUCAAUCUUUUGAAGGCUGCAUCUUCAGCUUCAAGCAAGGACACGUCCAUAAACUGUAUUAACAUCGUGAAGAAAGGGUUGUCGCCAUCACAGAGAUUUCCUAAGUCUGCCUACUGAAAAAUCUUAUGAGCUAUUCCAACCCAAAAGAGACAAGGAAGUUGAAGGCCUCGGAUAUUUCUUAGUACCAUUUUCCACCAGAAACAAUACCUGAUUCUAGGUUUGGAUCAGAACAUUUGCAAAAUGAAAGCUGAACAAGACUAAUGGGAUUGUAUCCAUGGUACCCAGGAGCCAAAUUUAAGUGGUUUCUAUUAGAUAAAAGAUGAGAUAAUCUGGACACUAAAAAUUGUUAGGACUGUAAUUGUUUAAAGUACUUUAAAAUAUAAAAAGAUUGAUCUGUCUAUUAUAUUCAGGUACAACAACAACAAAAAACCUUGUGGGUCAUAAUGAUGAUUGCUCCAACUCCAUUAGUUGGUGCACCAAUGAAUCAUUCUGAAAAUUGUCAGAUACUGGUUACAAAAGCAAAUAAUAAAAACUGAAC
rnacentral:lncRNA from 1 species